rnacentral:rRNA from 1 species
UGGCGAACGGGUGAGUAACACGUUAGUAACCUGCCCACAACUUUGGGAUAACGCUAGGAAACUGGUGCUAAUACUGGAUAUGUGCUCCUGCUGCAUGGUGGGGGUUGGAAAGCUCCGGCGGUUGUGGAUGGACUCGCGGCCUAUCAGCUUGUUGGUGGGGUAGUGGCCUACCAAGGCGGCGACGGGUAGCCGGCCUGAGAGGGUGACCGGCCACAUUGGGACUGAGAUACGGCCCAG